AACGAACGCUGGCGGCGCGCCUAAUACAUGCAAGUCGAGCGAGAAGACGUAGCAAUACGUUUGUAAAGCGGCGAACGGGUGAGGAAUACAUGGGUAACCUACCCUCGAGUGGGGAAUAACUAGCCGAAAGGUUAGCUAAUACCGCGUACGCUCCUUGGACUUCGGUUCAGGGAGGAAAGCGAUACCGUGGGUAUCGCGCUCUUGGAUGGGCUCAUGUCCUAUCAGCUUGUUGGUGAGGAACGGCUCACCAAGGCUUCGACGGGUAGCUGGUCUGAGAGGACGAUCAGCCACACUGGCACUGCGACACGGGCCAGACUCCUACGGGAGGCAGCAGUAAGGAAUAUUGCGCAAUGGGCGAAAGCCUGACGCAGCGACGCCGCGUGGGGGAUGAAGGUCUUCGGAUUGUAAACCCCUUUCGGGAGGGAAGAUGGAACGAGCAAUCGUUCGGACGGUACCUCCAGAAGCAGCCACGG
rnacentral:rRNA from 1 species